rnacentral:lncRNA from 10 species
UUUAAAAAAGGUUGAUUUAGUUCAUGGUUCUGCAGGCUGGGAAGUUCAAGCACAUGGCUCUAGCUUCUGGUGAGAGGUUUCAGGCUGCGUCAUAAUAUGGCAGAGAAGAUCAAUGGGUAAAUGGACAUGUGUGAAGAAAGGCAAAACCAGAGACCGUCCAGGCUGGACUUGAACUCCUUCCUCGGCUGAAGUGAUCCUCCUGCCUCAGCGUCCUGAAUAGGAAGUGGAGCCAGAAUCCACAGAUGUCAUUAUCCAUCUGCACACUUUGUUUACUACCCAGAAGGCAAGAAUAUUGCAUUUUAAAAGUGCCCGGACUUUUGUUCUUUCUUAUCACAAAUGACUUGGGAAGCUCCGACCACUCAUGUUUACCCCGAGUGAAAGUCCCAUUCAAAGCCUUGCUUCCUGGAGAGCUUUGAGAUUCUGGUACAAAAGGCAUUUUAUAAGCACAAAGUGGAAAAGCAUCAUUCAUAUUCAUUUGCUGCUGCGGCAUUUCUCCCUGGAAUCUUCCUCUUGUCUGUCAACAUUGGGCAAAAGGACUGGCCUCAUCUACAUUACAGAUAUCCUUGUGAUGGUCUGGAGGGACCUGUGGGAGAGGCGGCCAUCCAGAGGGCUCUCUGAGGGGUCAUUUAGAAUGCAACUCUUCUGGGCAGAGGAUGGUCUGCACUGGCCUCCACCACGCAGGAAGGCUUCCAGAGUGGAGAAAUGUCCACUAACAUGGCUUCUGUGAGGUAUCAUUCUGAUCAUUGUUGUUACAGGAGAGAUGAGAGGAAGUUAGAGGGGCUAGAAGAACCAGGAGAC